ensembl:lncRNA
CAUAACCAAAGGGAGACCCCAAUCCCCCCAUGGGAGACCCCAAUCCGACCCCCCCAUAGCCAAAGGGAGACCCCAAUCUGAUCCCCCCAUAGCCAAAGGGAGACCCCAAUCCCCCCCCAUAGCCAAAGGGGGACCCCAAUCCCCCCAUGGGAGACCCCAAUCCCCCCAUAGGAGACCCCAAUCCCCCCCAUAGCCAAAGGGAGACCCCAAUCCCCCCAGGGGAGACCCCAAUCCCCCCCCAUAGCCAAAGGGAGACCCCAAUCCCCCCAUAGGAGACCCCAAUACCCCAUAACCAAAGGGAGACCCCGAUCCCCCCAUAACCAAAGGGAGACCCCAAUCCCCCCAUAGCCAAAGGGAGACCCCAAUCCCCCCAUAGGAGACCCCGAUCCGAUCCCCCCAUAACCAAAGAGAGACCCCAAUCCCCCCACGGCCAAAGGGGGACCCCGACCCCCCAUAGCCAAAGGGAGACCCCAAUCCCCCCAUAGGAGACCCCGAUCCCCCCAUAGGAGACCCCAAUCCCCCCAUAGCCAAAGGGAGACCCCGAUCCCCCCAUGGGAGACCCCAAUCCGAUCCCCCCCAUAGCCAAAGGGAGACCCCAAUCCCCCCACAACCAAAGGGAGACCCCAAUACCCCAUAACCAAAGGGAGACCCCAAUCCCCCCAUGGGAGACCCCAAUCCGAUCCCCCCAUAACCAAAGAGGGACCCCAAUACCCCAUAGCCAAAGGGAGACCCCGAUCCCCCCAUGGGAGACCCCAAUCCCCCCAUGGGAGACCCCAAUACCCCCAUUGGGACUCAAUAAACCAUAUGUGGUUGAGGAGCUCCGUGUGGCGGUGUCGUUCUGCGCUCUGUGCCCCAUCUCACCCUCCUUAUCUCCCUCCUUAUCUCCCUCCUUAUCUCCCUCCUUAUCUCCCUCCUUAUCUCCCUCCUUAUCUCCCUCCUUAUCUCCCUCCUUAUCUCUCUCUCCAUCCCCCGCUCUCCAUCCCUCUCUAUUGCAUCUCUUUCUCUCUCCCCCCAUCUCCAUCUCUCCAACUCCCUCUCUCUAUCUCCAUCCCUAUAUCUCCCCCUAUAUCUCCCUCUAUCCCUAUAUCUCCCUCUAUAUCUCCCUCUAUCCCUCUAUCUCCCCCUAUAUCUCCCUCUAUCCCUAUAUCUCCCUCUAUAUCUCCCUCUAUCCCUCUAUCUCCCCCUAUAUCUCCCUCUCCCCCUAUAUCUCCCUCUAUAUCUCCCUCUCCCCCUAUAUCUCCCCCUCUAUCUCCCUCUAUCCCUCUAUCUCCCCCUAUAUCUCCCUCUAUCCCUCUAUCUCCCCCUAUAUCUCCCUCUAUCCCUAUCUCUCCCCCUAUAUCUCCCUCUAUCCCUAUAUCUCCCCCUAUAUCUCCCUCUCCCUCUAUCUCUCCCCCUAUAUCUCCCUCUAUCUCUCUAUCUCCCUCUCCCCCUAUCUCUCCCCCUAUCUCUCUCUAUAUCCCCCUCUAUAUCUCCCUAUCUCUCCCCCUAUCUCUAUCUCUCCCCCUAUAUCCCCUUCCAUAUCCCCC